UGCCUCUCAAUAGUGGGAUUGCCAGUGCA
rnacentral:piRNA from 1 species